UCCCAUGUGACAUCCCUUGGCCCCCUAUUUAUAGGGGACACCCCAAAUGGCUGAUGGCUAUGAUUUUUGGUUGAAACCAGAGAGGAGGGACAUGGUAAAUAUAGAAAAAAUUUUGAAAAAAUAAAAAAAUUUGAGUGGCAAAAGUUGCAAGAAGGAUCAUGAGAUUUUUAGCAAGUGUUGCUAAUGUGCCCUAGGGUUUGGUUUUUCUAUAUGUUGGAGUCAAAAAUCAAAUCUUAAAUUGUAUGACAUCUGAAGAGUGUCUUCUUGGUAUCAUUCUGGUGGCA
rnacentral:lncRNA from 1 species